UUCAAAUUUUCAUUGAGGUCAUCUAUCAACAAAUCUAUUUUUAUAGGUCCUUUCCUAAAUAUAUUUCAGCCGGCUCAGUUCAACUUUCUGAGACGCCGUGAUGAAGAUGAUGGCGACAACUUGGAACCCAAUUGGUAACCACAACAAAAGAGGCAUUCUUCUUCCUCAUUAAACCCCUGCGCCUAUGAGUUCAGGGUUGGCAUAGAUGCUUUGGGGUUUGCAAUUUAUCAAAUGGACUACUUUUCUGGGUAUUGCAAGUCCUCUUUGAGCCCACAUUGCACUAAUUACUGGGUGAUGUGGUUUUAUGCUACCCUUCUAGCUGAAAUUGUGUGGAGUUUGUUCUAAGUUCUUACAUUAUGGGAAUGCUUCUUUAUAGGAGUGUUCUUGGUAAAGAUCUUGAUGGGGAAUUUCAAUUGCAGAAUAAGUUCAUGUGUUACAAAGCUCUAUCCAAACCAAAGUUGUUGUGCUCCAUUUUCUUAUGGCGUGUGAAACUAAUACCUCCUCAAAGAGGUAUGAUGAAAAGGUUUGAAAUGCAGCUUUCUAAAGCACAUACUCCCUUUGAAUAUUAAUCCCAGUACCCUUUAGUUUUUGGAUUGAUAAGUAAAUAUAACCUCAUCAUUUUUUAUUGUAGCUUAUACAUAAUAAUGAGUUUUUAUGUAUUGGAAUCAAGAUAGCAAAUGAGUUUUUCAUUCAGUAAAUAAUACUGUUCUGUACAUGUCAUUAUAUACAGUCUAAAGAGGAUGUGCAGCUUAUAAAUGGAAAAUGUAUGUUUCACAAGACAAUUCCAUAAUUCAUGGAAUUAUCAAACUACAAGAAUUACAAAGGAGCAUGAUGACUCGUGAUUUCCUUGUAUGAAGAAGAUUUGAAUUUGCUGUUUCCUUUUAGAUUGGAGGUCCUGUUUCUGUCGUGACAGUAUUGUAGCUUUCCUUUUCUGCAGUAUUUCUUCUGCAUUGCAACAGCAUAUCUUUUCCACCCAAUUUGUUGCUGAUUGACGAUUACUAGUUUAACAGGGCAAGAUGUCCUUAAAAUAGCUACAACUCUCCUUAAAAUAACAGUUUUUUUCAUGAAGGAGGCAUCUGGAUUUUUAAGGAAACUAUUACUAUUGGUUUCUUUAUCUUAAAAAUGAAGAAAAGGUUGAGCACUUUUUUUCUUCGAGGCAGGGUGCUCUGCUAAAGUUAUACCUAUCCUGUUCUAACUCUCAUUCUUUCAUGUUAAUGAAAGUGGACAGUUUUUGGGGGUCGCUGAGAUGAUUGGGUGGGUGGACUUCGAUAAAGACAUUUGACUGUUGGCAACUUUCUUUGGACAGAUUCCACCAUUCCUACUAUUUGUUUUUGGAGAAAAAGGUUGGCCUAGAAGCUUUGGGUUUGCAAUUUACCAAAUAUUGGACUACUUUGCUGGGUAUUGCGACUCUUAUUUGUGGCCACAUUGCACUAUUUAUUGGGUGAAGCCCUCUUUGGAUCUUCCUUUGGACUUAGGUUUUUUGUUGCCCUAUUUUUGUAAAGGCAUUGGUUUCUUUUUUUCUUGUAUUUGCUUUGGUUUCCUGGUGAU